UACGGAGGGUGCGAGCGUUAAUCGGAAUAACUGGGCGUAAAGGGCACGCAGGCGGGCUUUUAAGUGAGAUGUGAAAUCCCCGGGGUUAACCUGGGAAUAGCAUUUCAGACUGUGAGUCUAGAGUACUUUAGGGAGGGGUAGAAUUCCACGUGUAGCGGUGAAAUGCGUAGAGAUGUGGAGGAAUACCGAAGGCGAAGGCAGCUCCUUGGGAAUGUUCUGACGCUCAUGUGCGAAAGCGUGGGGAGCAAACAGG
rnacentral:rRNA from 1 species